GCCCCGCCGCUGCACCCUAGUCCCAGCCCACUCCUCGGCCCCGGGGAGGCGGCUCCCACGGCUUCUCUAGCCGCGUCCCAGGCCACGCCAGCUGCGGCCAGCUGUGCGAUGCCAGGCCCAAGCGCGCGUCCGCGGCCCCGCCCCAUCCCCUACGGCUGGAUCUCCCACCGCAGCUGAGCCCAAGUCCCCGCUCCAGUCGCUGCCCGAAGCGAGCGCAAACGCUGAGCCGACGAGACGGCUGGGCUAGAGAGGCUGUCCCGACCGCGCCCCCCGCCGGAAGCGGCUGGUUAGGGCCUGAGGUGGCGCUACGAAGUUCCGGUCCAGGUCUCCUACCUCGGGCUUGUUCGCAGGCGGCGUCGGAGCCGAGCCGGACUGGUCAGGAUGAUCACGGACGUGCAGCUCGCCAUCUUCGCCAACAUGCUGGGCGUGUCGCUCUUCUUGCUUGUCGUUCUCUAUCACUACGUGGCCGUCAACAAUCCCAAGAAGCAGGAAUGAAAGUGGCGCUUUCUCUGUCCCAGGAUUCCAGGACAUAGUCUGAGGCAAGAUGGAGGGUGUGAGGGGCCUUCACACUUCAGUUCAUCCCUUCUACCCAUCACAACAUACAAAGCAACUACACCUGGAUUUUUCCAAACAACUUUUAUUUCCUCAGUCUUCCUUAACCUUAUGGAAUAAGAAGCUGCCAUUCAAUAGGGCCCAGUAUAGGGGCUGCUUUCUUUUCUACUCCCUCCCCCCCAAUAUAAAAAUAUAGAUAUAUAUUUUUUGUGGUCCCAAAAUCUUGUGCUGCGGAGGGAGGGAAGGGGUGGCAGGUCCCUGUUUUGUCUUGUUUCAAGGCGAUGCUCUGUAAUGCCUUGGACAGUGUGGCUGGCAUUCCAAGGACUUAACGGCUGUCAUGUGGAAUGAGCAGCCUGGAGGGGAACUAGCAUAUUUCCCACUGUGUUACCCCAUCUUGGGGCUAUAUCCUGGGCUUGAACAUAAAGGCAUUAUCAGACCCGGGGAGAAAUAGUGAGUGGGGGAGAUUUAGGGACAAAACAAACCUCAGGUUGGCCCAAGGGACUCCCGCUGUAACAAUUCCAGGAUGGGGAGUCAGAUAGACUACAGGAUAUAGGAGAAAAGGCAGGGGCAGAGCGGGGCCGUGGGGGCUUGGCCUGAGGCAGCCUGCAACAGAGAAGAGAGAGGAAUCAGGGUUGUGAAAACUCUGCUCCUCUUCUGUUCUGCUAACCAGGGGCUGGGAGGUGAAGAAGUGGAGCGAGAUGACGACGGGUAAGGAUGGGCAAAUUGUGACUGCACGGUGGUCUGAUGCUCUUAGGCCAUAGGCCCUAACUAAAAGUUGUUUUCUUUUCCUGUGGAGUGAAGACUGUGGCCAUGGUGGGUGGGAAAAAAUAUCAGGAACUAGAUUCUUAAUGAAAGUACAUUUAGUCUUUGUGCUCACAAGGAGUAGGAAAGGCAGAAAUUAUUCUGAAUGACAGAAAUGGGAAUGAGGGGACAGAAGUGAGGAGUGGGGUGAGGGAUUGGACCCCAGUGCUCACCCUGGUGUAGCAGAGCAGGGUCCCGGCUCCAGCUCACUGCUCUCCCUGGUCCGGGGGAUAGGGGAUGUGGGGCCUGAAGAGCCUUUCAUCCCUCUGCGAGUCGGCGGUGAGCUCCGGCCCAACCUGGGCCUAGCCUGUGUGGACAGGGAGUGUGCUAAGAGGCUGGAUUCUUCCAUGAGUUUUUUUUUGCUUUAGUUUGUACCUAGAAUUUCCAUCCGUAAGAGUGUUACGGGGAUCAACAGAGGUACUGGGACAUUGAAUUCUAGCUGAAAGAAUGAGGCAAGAUAAUAGCCAGAGAAGUCCUGGAUUCAGUCCAUGACUGUACACUCCAAGUCUACAUAACUAGGGGUGGCAAGAGGAUCCAGCAUUUACUCACCAUGGCUACACCAUGGCUAAGGUCUGGGUGAGUAGAGAAACACUGUAGAAAGAUAGUGGAGGGUUGGUAGACCUCAGAGCCUUCUGUGCCUCAGCCCCUGCCAGAGCAGCGUACAUCUCACCCAUCCAGUCAGCUUCUGCCUAUACUCCUUUACCUAGCAUGGGGAUCUGGACUGAAUCAGAGUUGGUGGCAGGGCUGUUCCUAGCAGCAGCAACCAAAUGUGUUACCUGGGGAAUCCGGGACCCCUCCUGGCGGAAACUCUCCUCGGGCAGGUCUGGGCAGAAAGAGAGGAGAAGCUAAUGGGAGGGGCAGGGAAAGCCAAAGCUAGCAGGCUGAGGUUGGGGUAUAUCUGGCAGGGACACAGGCUGAAAGCAAGCAAGAGACCUGGGCUGAUGGGGAUGGUGGAGGGCAGGAGGGGGACUGGACAGACAAGAACUCAGGCAUCACAGCAGCCCUCUGAUGUGGCCAGGGGUAGUAGAGGCAGUAAAGCAGUACUGAGCAUUUUCCCUCCCACUACCCAGAGGAACAGUGCCUUGCUGGGUUCUGCUAGAGUAGUUGUGCUGGGAGACUGGGAAGAACCAAAAAUAUUACCUGCAGUCGAGUCUUGAUGCAGGGCAUCCGAGCUCCAGUCCCUAGCAGACCUUUCCCAAUUACCAUGACAGAUUCUGGUUUGUCCCCAGAGGACAAGAGUGAACAGCUGCUCCCUAGGGAACAGAGGAAACUGAUCAGGGUUGGGGCCGCAGAGAAGAGGAGGUAACUUCCUUUCGAUCAGGGUUUCUCAACCUUGGUACGUUGAGAACAUUUUGGGUUGGAUAAUUCUUUGUUGUGGGGAGUGUUCUUGUGCACUGUAGGAUGUUUAGCAGCAUCCCUAGCCUCUAACCAAUUAUAUUCGGUUUCAUCACCUCCCUCCUCCUCAAUUUAACAGCCAAAAAUGUCUCCAGAUGUUGCCUGACGUCACCUGGGUAGCAAAAUCGCCCCUGGUUGAGGCUCUAGUCUGGUCCAAGGGGUGGAGAAGCAACUCCAGGCUAGACUCAGAACGCACCCAAGCUUAACUCCUGUGUCAAUUUAUAUGCCACAGGGCCUACAAUCAAGUCAGCUCUACCCAGGACUGGUGGAUUCAGUGCUACCCAUUGAGGAGAAUUGACAGGUUGGGAGUAGGGGCCUCUGAGUAAGUAGAACAUGCUGGACUAGAGUCUUAGAAUCAUUCCCAUCCAGUCCUUUAGAUAGCUGGGUCUAUAAUUUAAAAGAAGAGAUGGCUUAAGUUUUGUGUGAAUGACACGGCUACACACAACAUUUAGCAGUGUUGACAGGUGAAAGAUCUAUGCUUUUUUCAUUCUCCUGUCUUGUCUAUUGUUGCCCAGCUCCUGAAUUCAGGGAACUUGCAUAAGUAUCACUUUGCAGGUAGUCCUCAGGUUCCUCAACUGUAAAAAUGAGGAUUAAAUGAGAUUAAGUGUGUAGAGCAGUGCCUGGAACAUAAUAAAUGUGAACUACUGUUGUUUUACACAAAGACAUUAAUAAAUUCCACCUGCCUAUUCAAAGGCACCAGUGUUAGAGGUUUAGGAUACCAAGAAGAUAACUGAUGCCCCUGGUCUCCCAACUAGACUUAAAGAACCUGGGCUGGUCAUGGAGGAGGCUGGCCAGCCCAGAUUUCAGUGGCAAUGGGUACAGACCUGGUAUAUUGAGUGAAUCGGGCAGUAGACAGGAGCCCAGCUUGUGUGAGGAGGCUGGGCCAGAACUAGCAGGAGCUGGGGAUGGAGCCAGGCUGCCUGCAGGAGGACGAUGGUUCAGUGGCUGCUGUCGCCGUCUCCUGUCCUGGCUUCGGGGCUCUGAGUGGAAGAGAUACAAGCAGAUAAAAGGGCAAAUAAGUGGGGUACUAUGAGGCAGCCUUCACUGACUUGCUGGCUCCCUUGGUCAAAAGAUGCCUGUUUUUCAAGCUUGUCGUCAGACCCACAUCCCUCUCCUGCAGUAACUAUUAGUAUAAGAUGGGUAGAAAGACCUACUAUUUAAUAAAAUUAUCCAGUUCUCCACCAGCCUUCAUCCUGCCGGUUUUUUUGUUUGUUUUAUUUUUUGAGACAAGGUUUCCACUCUGUCACCCAGGCUGAAGAAGUGCACAAUGGCACAAUCAUGGCUCACUGCAGCCUCAACCUACCAGCUUAGGUGAUCCUCCCACUUCAGCCUCCUGAGUAGCUGGCACUAUAGGUGCCUGCCACCAUGCCCAACUAAUUUUUUGUGUUUUUAGUAGAGAUGGGGUUUCACCCAGGCUGGUCUUGAACUCCUAGGCUCAAGAGAUCCACCCACCUUGGCCUCCCAAAGGGUUGGGAUUGCAGGUGUGAGCCACUGUACCUGGCCCAGUUCAUUCUUUUGGCAAAGAAGCUACUGAGCUUGGAUAACACUGCUUUCCUUGGUUCCCCUCCUACCACUAAUUGUUUCUCUUCCAGCUGUUCUUCCUGCCUCUUAAAUGUCAAGUCUUCCCCACCAUUCUGUCCUUGGGCCUCUCAUGCUCUACUUACUCUUAAACUCCGAAAUCACUCUCUACCCCAUUUCUCCUGAAAUCCAGUUCUAACUGUCCACUGGAAAUUUCUUCCCAAAAGUACCCUUGACAAAACAAAACUCAAUCCCUUUCUUUCAUUCUCCUUGUCUUGGUGGAAAACCUUGUUUCAUCUUUAUACUCCUCUCUUAGAUUUGCAUUUGUGUAAUUAAAUUCUACAAUUCUAUCUCUGCAUUUUCUGUCACCUAGGCUGUAAUGUGGUGGCAUGAACAUGGCUCACUGCAAACUUGACCUCCUGCAUCCCAAGUAGCUGGGACAACAGGUGACGCUAUCAAGCCCAGCUAAUUUUUAAUUUUCUUUAGAGGUGGAGUCUCGCCAUGUUGCCCAGGCUGGUCUGGAACUCUUGGGCUCAGGCGAUCCUCCUGCCUCAGUUCCCAAAGGGCUGGGAUCACAGGUAGGAGCCAUUGCACUGGGCUUGAAGAUCUUCUAAAGGAUAAACUCUAAACCUUUGAACACUACACAUUCAAAGCUUUGCCUACUGUAGCUCCAGUCUAUACAUGCUUAGUAGGAUGCUGAUUUGAUCCUUCAUACCCUCUGCUAUAGCCCAUGUUGCUACUAGUUGUGUGUGGUUCCUCUGGAACUGUUUCCUUUUCUGGUGAAACCAUGACCAUCUUUGAUUUCCCAUCUCAAAUGUUACCUCUCUGAAGCUUACUUGACCAUUACAGGCAGAAUUAAUUGUCCUCUCCUCAUUACCUUCAUCCUUCAUUUGAGUGGCUAGUAGUUUAUGGUUUCUGUUUAAUUAAGUUAGAAUGUGUAAAGUACUUAUGGGCACAUAGUACUCAAUAAACAUAAUCUAGUAUUCUUUCUAACUGGAACUUGAGUUUCUUGGGAGUAGGGACUUUGUUGCCUCCAACACUAUAUAACCCAGUGCCUGUAAAAUACUGCCUGAAAAACCAGAGACCUUAAUCAAUGUUUUGUUUACUUGAACAGCAAAUACCUACUGUACACCAUGAGCUGGAUCGAUCAUCUCUCGGAGUCUAAAGGCUGGAGUGCAAUGGCGCGAUCUUGGCUCACCGCAACCUCCGCCUCCUGGAUUCAGGCAAUUCUCCUGCCUCAGCCUCCCAAGUAACUGGGAUUACAGGCACACGCCACCAUGCCCAGCUAAUUUUUUUAUAUUUUUAGUAGAGACGGGGUUUCACCAUGUUGACCAGGAUGGUCUCGAUCUCUUGACCUUGUGAUCCACCCGCCCCGGCCUCUCAAGGUGCUGGGAUUACAGGCUUGAGCCACCACGCCCGGCCUGUUGUUUUCUUUAGGGAACCUAUUUCAUCAACUAUAUCCCAGCUUCUACCCAACCUGUGGAUUAUCCCUGAGGCUUUGUGGAUUGCAACGCGGCCGCUUCCCUCUUUGGACUGGCCAUCUCUGCGGUCUCGGGCAUACAUAUUCUUCUCUGAGAAAUUGCAACCCUGGAAGUCGAAGUGGGCUGAGUUCAAGGAGAUGAGCUUUGGAUACAGCAUGUUUUCCACCUGUUUGGGGAAGAAAAAGAGUCAACUCAAGAGAGACAGAAACAAAGAAGGGACAAGGGGCAAGGAAGAGAUGGCAAGUGUGGGACCAUGUGACUUAAUACACAGCAGAUACCAUCACAACCAUCAACAGUAAUCAGUGCUGCUCGAAUUCUCAGUUUGAUAUUAUUUCUAGGUGUUGGGAAGCAAUUCUAUUUUUUUUUUUUUUUUUUAAGCUUUUAGCUUCUUCUCUCCAACAAUGCAAAAUUUUCCUUCUCUGGAUUCCCAGACUCUAGCAUAUUUGCUAUAAUGCCGUUCGUUAGCUUGACCCUUAAUAAAAGGUCAUGACAUAAUGAUUGAGACAUAA